CAGCCUACUACAUACUCGUCAAGUCAGACCCAGAGCAGCCAAUGGGACCCAAGCAAAAGAAAGAUCCAUUUGAGCUACCAGCCAAGAUCUUCACAUCUUACGCCCAACAGUUAUCCUGCUGGGUCCAAACAUGGAACUCCUGCUCUGAGCCAGCCAAAGUGACCAUGUCUGGGUGGGGUUACUUCAGGACAACAUAAAGAGUUACCUGAAGACAUAAAAUACAAUGCACUGUUGAUGUAAUAUGUUAUGUGUGACUUGUUUGUUCAUUGGCACUGUCAGGAAAUCCUGACAUUUCUUUUACUAAAAAUGAAAGUACUGUACCCAGUAAGAAAGUUAAAUUUCUAGGACAAACAAAAUGAAACAAAUUUGGA